rnacentral:rRNA from 1 species
GAUGAACGCUGGCGGCGUGCUUAACACAUGCAAGUCGAACGGUGAACGAGGGAGCUUGCUCCCUCCGGAUCAGUGGCGAACGGGUGAGUAACACGUGAGCAAUCUGCCCCGAACUCUGGGAUAAGCGCUGGAAACGGCGUCUAAUACCGGAUACGACGCGCGAAGGCAUCUUCUGCGCGUGGAAAGAAUUUCGGUUCGGGAUGAGCUCGCGGCCUAUCAGCUAGUUGGUGAGGUAACGGCUCACCAAGGCGACGACGGGUAGCCGGCCUGAGAGGGUGACCGGCCACACUGGGACUGAGACACGGCCCAGACUCCUACGGGAGGCAGCAGUGGGGAAUAUUGCACAAUGGGCGCAAGCCUGAUGCAGCAACGCCGCGUGAGGGACGACGGCCUUCGGGUUGUAAACCUCUUUUAGUAGGGAAGAAGCGAAAGUGACGGUACCUGCAGAAAAAGCACCGGCUAACUACGUGCCAGCCGCCGCCGUAA